rnacentral:rRNA from 1 species
GACGAACGCUGGCGGCGUGCCUAAUACAUGCAAGUCGAACGCAGUGGGGACGGGUGAGUAACACGUGGGUAACCUCCCAUCAGAGGGGAUAACACUUGGAAACAGGUGCUAAACCGAUAUCGAUGGAUGGACCCGCGGUGCAUUAGCUAGUGGGGGAGGUAACGGCUCACCAAGGCCACGAUGCAUAGCCGGCCUGAGAGGAUGAGCGGCCACACUGGUACUGAGACACGGCCCAUACUCCGCCGUGAGGCAGCAGUGGGGAAUCUUCGGCAAUGGACGAAAGGCUGACCGAGCAACGCCGCGUGAGUGAAGAAGGUUUUCGGAUCGUAAAACUCUGUUGUGAGAGAAGCGGUAUCUAACCAGAAAGCCACGGCUAACUACGUGCCAGCAGCCGCGGUAAUUC